rnacentral:rRNA from 1 species
GAUGAACGCUGGCGGCGUGCCUAAUACAUGCAAGUCGAGCGAACAGACGAGGAGCUUGCUCCUCUGACGUUAGCGGCGGACGGGUGAGUAACACGUGGAUAACCUACCUAUAAGACUGGGAUAACUUCGGGAAACCGGAGCUAAUACCGGAUAAUAUAUUGAACCGCAUGGUUCAAUAGUGAAAGACGGUUUUGCUGUCACUUAUAGAUGGAUCCGCGCCGCAUUAGCUAGUUGGUAAGGUAACGGCUUACCAAGGCGACGAUGCGUAGCCGACCUGAGAGGGUGUGCGGCACCACGGGACGGAAGACCGGGCCAAGACCCCUAGGGGGGGACGGAGUGGGAAUUUUUCGGAAGGGGGAGAAGGCCUGCGGAAGCACCGCCGGGUGAGGAAGGAGGGUCUUGGGAUCAAAAAACGUUGUUAUGGGGAAAAAAAAAAUGUGAAAGAAACUAUGCCGGUCUUGAGGGUACCAAAUAAAAAAGCCACGGCUAACUCCGU